AAGUUACAUGAAGUUACUCCCUUCGGCCAGUCUAUAUUUAUUUAUGUCUAUGGAAAAAAGUUAGUAGACAUUUUUGAUCUACUAUGUCGAUAAUGCAUAAUAUUUAAAGUAGUACUGACGUCUUGUUCAUAUGAAUGCUGGAGAUAAUUGUGAAACUUUCUGAGAUACACAAGGUGAAUAAGACGAGUACUGCCUAAGGCUCAAUCGUAAAAAGAAAAGAAAUAAUAAAGGUAACAACUCAAAGGUUACAGCCCCAACCAAUUCACAGGUUACAGCCCCAACCAAUUCACAGGUUACAGCCCCAACCAAUUCAAAGGUUACAGCCCCAACCAAUUCAAAGGUUACAGCCCCAACCAAUUCACAGUUGACCUAUUAAGUAAAGUUUCGAUGAACCAUUUAGAGAAACAAAAUGUAAAGACAGAGAAAACAGCUUUCAAAAUCACAUUCCAUUUUUUUUUAAAUAUUUUUUGUGUUGCUUGCUUUGUUUGUCGGUUUAUAUUGACUGCAAUGUUUCCAGGGCUUGGCAACAAGGGCUAACAAUCAUGUACAUGCCAUUCAUUAAAACCUUUGUGUUAA
rnacentral:sRNA from 1 species